UGGAUAACAAGAAAAUACAAUGCAAUGUGAUGAGUGCUAUAACCAAGAUAAGUCUUACUGGAAUUAACUCUCCCUGAAGGAGCUUUGGAAGUCUCAAGAAAGAGGUGACAUUUGAGUUAGGUUUUAUUAAUGAUUAGGGACUCACCAGGUGAAGCCCAGAAAAGGCAUGCUUGGAAGCCUGUGAAAUGGACUUGAGAUUGUACAGAGUAUGACAAGGAGUUAGGGUAGGCUGGAAUACAGAAUUGGUAGGGUUGUUCAAUUUCCAGAGAUAAAGGUGAACAGUGCAUUUUGAGUCUAGAUUGAGUAAUGCUGUAUACGUCAAACAAAGGAGUUUAUAUUUAAUUUUACAGGCAAUGGGGAGUCACUGGAAUGCUUGAACAACGUUACUUUAAGAUGAUUUUGACAAUGCGUGGAGACUAGAUCAAAGGAAAGAGAUGCUUGGAGCACACUAGGAAUGGCAAUUAUGAAAUUUUAGAAGAUUCUUUGGCAUCAUUAGAAUGAAAUUCAUCUUCUGAACAAAUAAGACUUGCUAGCUUUUGCAUACAAAUAAAACCCACACAAAAGCCUGGGAUAACUUCCAUUUUCCUCCUUGGCAG
rnacentral:lncRNA from 10 species